rnacentral:rRNA from 1 species
CCUACGGGUGGCAGCAGUGGGGAAUAUUGCACAAUGGGCGCAAGCCUGAUGCAGCCAUGCCGCGUGUGUGAAGAAGGCCUUCGGGUUGUAAAGCACUUUCAGCGGGGAGGAAGGCGGUGAGGUUAAUAACCUCAUCGAUUGACGUUACCCGCAGAAGAAGCACCGGCUAACUCCGUGCCAGCAGCCGCGGUAAUACGGAGGGUGCAAGCGUUAAUCGGAAUUACUGGGCGUAAAGCGCACGCAGGCGGUCUGUCAAGUCGGAUGUGAAAUCCCCGGGCUCAACCUGGGAACUGCAUUCGAAACUGGCAGGCUAGAGUCUUGUAGAGGGGGGUAGAAUUCCAGGUGUAGCGGUGAAAUGCGUAGAGAUCUGGAGGAACACCGGUGGCGAAGGCGGCCCCCUGGACAAAGACUGACGCUCAGGUGCGAAAGCGUGGGGAGCAAACAGGAUUAGAUACCCGGGUAGUC